AAGAAAUGAAAGAGUCUGCAAACGGCCUGUGUGGAAAGGAAGGUAGAACAGAACCCUUGGGGGUCGUGGGCUGUUUGAAAUCGCCUCCUUUUCUGCAUGCAGAACCAGAAUGUUUCCUCACACUGGGGCAAGAAAAAGCUGGAACCAGCAGGUGUUUGCCCUUAUCCAUGGAGAGAUUCAUUGAGAGGCCUGGAGGUUUUGAAGGGGAGUGACGGGAGCAUGCAGUUGGACUCCAUUUACUAAGGUGCAUUCUCCAAGAUUCUCUUGAACUUAGAACUUUGCUCUCGUCUUCUGCAGAGAGUCUGUAUUCAAAGAGAGUUUGGUGCAUUCCUUGGCCUCAGCUUCUGCAUAUGAAUACUUGUUAUGUUGCCCAUUCCUCAGAGGAGAGCACAUUUCCUUUACUUUGUGAGCAAGAGGGAGACACAGAGGUAGAGACAGAGAUAAAGAUGGAGAUGGAGAUGGAGAGGAAGAUGAAGAUGGAUACAGACAGAGACAGAGACACCUUUACUCAUUCAUCUAGUCCUCUAACCCCCUUGGGCAUUUCAUCCACGGCCAUUGCAGGUGUUGUGUUAAUGAUUCUUGCUGUGCUAUUGCUUCACCUGUUUGCUCUCAAAUCCAUUCCCUGCCCUUCCCUUGCUCUGCUUUUUGUCACAGGGAUUGAUCACAUUUUUUGCCAACCAAUUUCUGGCUAAGUUCAGCCAGUGAUGGGAAAUUAGAGAGGAGGAAAAUAAGAGAAGUCUGGGCAUCCUUCCUCACUCCCCGUAUCAAGCAUCUUGAGUAAUGCUGUCUGUCCUCCUUAGUUGUAGCUCUCAAAAGUAGUUUCACUACCUUCCUGGCAGUCCUGGCCCUUGGGCUCUAACACCACCAUUUCCUUUGGUCUUUCCAGUCCUGGAGUGGUAGUGUCUUCCCACAGUUGCUAACAUCUGGCUUUGAAGCUUUUUCAAUACCUUUUAAAUUAGUUGCCCAAAAUAAAUUCCUAUGAUUGAACA
rnacentral:lncRNA from 1 species